AAGCUAGUUGACAAAUAAAGCAAGGGGCAAUUAUCUCUAUAUAAACCCAUCGCCCAUAGAGGUUUAUGAGACAAGUACAAGCAACGAAAGCAUUAAUCUAAAUGAAUAUUUGUAGAGUAAUUUAUGAAGAAACUAAACGGAGAAGGUUCCAGUUUCCCUCAAAGGCUUCCAAUGUCCUUCGUUGGAGCCUGCGAAGGAUACUGAAAGGCUUACUCCCUCUUGAAUUCCGCCACAAUUUUGAUUGCUUUCAGCUGCAUGCAUAUAUAGAGAUGAUUUGAGGCACGCAUUGCUAUAGCAGCCUCCUCAAGCUGUUCAAAAAAACAAAAAAAAAUGGAGUUUAAAGCUCCAGAGAUGGUUAAGGGUCAUUUCCACCAGUGCACGUGGCAUAUUGCAGCUCGUUAAUUCCUUGAGGACUUCACGUCGAUAAGCUCCCUGAUUUAGAGUUUAUAAAUAUAUAUAUAUUUAUUAGGGGUUGAGAAACAUCAUAGAGGUACAAGGGGCAAGAUCUCUGAAACUUACUUGCAUUGAGAUUAUGUUUUCUUGUCUUCUGGUUCUUAGAACUUAUGAUGGGAUCCAAACGGCACUAGCCCUUCCAACGGUUGUUCCGAGUUCAUAGGAUGUUACCAAGGAUACACUCCCAUUAAACAAAACAUUUGUUUGCUUUCAACAUCUUGGGGCUUUUCAUAACAUGUCAGAAAAUACCAGGAAAUGUCUUUGUAAGUUGCUUUCAUUGGUUAAUAAGUAAUAACAUGCAGUCUACAUUGUGGAGUACUCUCUAUAAAUAAA